rnacentral:rRNA from 1 species
CAAUAGCGUAUAUUAAAGUUGUUGCGGUUAAAAAGCUCGUAGUUGGAUUUCUGUUGAGGGCAAGCGGUCCGCACUUUGUGCGAGUAUCUGUUUUGACCUCGGCAUCCUCUUGAAGAACGAUACUGUGAUUCAGUUCGUGGUUCGGAAUUCAAGACUUUUACUUUGAGGAAAUUAGAGUGUUCACGGCAAGCAAUCGCUUUGAAUACAUUAGCAUGGAAUAAUAAUAUAGGACCUUGGUACUAUUUUGUUGGUUUCUAGAACUAAGGUAAUGAUUAAUAGGGAUAAUUGGGGGCAUUCGUAUUAAGACGUCAGAGGUGGAAUUCUUGGAUUGUCUUACGACGACUACUGCGAAAGACAUUUGUCCAACGGAGUGUUUUCUAUUGUAUCAAGAACGAAAGUAAUGGGGAGUCG